ACGUCUACAUUAGAUACCCGCGUAGUCCCAGCCGUAAACUAUGCGCGUUAGGUGUAUCGGUGACCACGAGUUACCGAGGGUGCCGAAGGGAAACCGUGAAACGUGCCGCCUGGGAAGUACGGUCGCAAGGCUGAAACUUAAAGGAAUUGGCGGGGAGCACCACAACGGGUGGAGCCUGCGGUUUAAUUGGACUCAACGCCGGGAAGCUCACCGGAUAAGACAGCGGAAUGAUUGCCGGGCUGAAGACUCUGCAUGACUAGCUG
rnacentral:rRNA from 1 species